rnacentral:lncRNA from 1 species
CAUAGGAUGGGACAGAAGGAGAUGCUAAACAGUGAUGCAGAAGCAGCGAAGACCUCCGCAAUCCUGCAGGGAAGCUUGGGAGCUGGUACGGCCCUGCAGAGAUGCACUGAGCCUGACUGCUGCUGGAGCCCAGUGUGAGUCCUGGCAGAAGAAAUCUGCAAACCCUAGUCAGAUGUGUUUCAGCUUUGCAGUGGAUGGUAGGGCCACCCUCCCGUUGGGGUCAGGUCAGAGGACAUGACUCUUUAACAUUACUGAAAUUACAAGUUUCUUGAAUACAAGAUGAAGGAAGAGGUCAAAUAUCAAGUAGUAAGUCACACAUUUAAAACAGAAUUUGGCUUCUACAUUUUCUUGGGAAUGGGUAGAGAAAAAAGCUUCCCUUUCUCUGUUUAGGGAAGCCAAGCUGCCAUGUUGUAAGCUGCCCUAUGAAGGGACCCACAUGGCAAAGAAUGGAGAAUGACCCCAGCCAGCCAAGAACUCUCAGCCUACCGGCCCAUGAGGAACUGAAUCCUGCCAACAGCGAUGUGAGUGAACUUGGAAGUGGAUCCUUCUCCAGUGGCACCAUCAGAAGGCCCUCACCAGAUGCAGGCCUCUCAACCUUGGACUUU